rnacentral:lncRNA from 1 species
GUUUAACUUCAUAGAGAAACUUGUUGUCCAAACCUACGAUGGCACAACUUUAAUGGAAUGUAUCUGCUAUUUGUGUUUACAGCUACAGUAUGUCCCCUCUUGUUCCCUGAUUAAGAGGUGAGGACUACUCCACUCCACUACCAUUGUCAAUUUUCUCCUGACAUGAAUUGAAGCCACAUUGAAGCCACAAAUGUUUUCCUUCCAAGCACUGUGAGUAUCCCUAUCAAUUUUUUCUCAUUACUGUACUCCUUGCAUGGACGAACUAAUUCUUAGCUCUUUUGUCUUAACUGUGUAGUGUGUUAUGUUAUUGUUUUUGUCUUCCAAGUCAAAUCCUGUCCUGGUCAAGCCUCUGAACACCUCAACUUAUACCUCAUCCCUUUCCAACACUGUGUAAGUAGCCCUCUUGAUCCCAUUCCCCAUAAUAUUGUACUAUACAUUUAUUUAUUAAACACUUUGUUAAAAUAAUUAGUCUUUGACGAUUUUUGAAAGACACUUUGUCGUCUCCGUGCCUUCCGCGCCUAUAAUGUAGGUCUCCCAAACUACUCAAUUUUCCAAGUCACCAGCCUCCACUGACACACACCUAGCACAGAGCAGCCACUAAACAAUGCAGCAAACACUGCAUGCCACAAACAGCUGCUACCUUCUGCUGGGGCUCCAGAGAGAGAGAGGGUUGGGUGUAGGACAUGAAGCAUCAGACACACCACACGCUCCGCUCCUCUGUCCCAAACCCCCAGCCGAACCCCCAGCUGAGGGGGCAAUAACUCAUUAAAAUGGAGGAGGCAAAUAAUAGCAUGUCUCAUCAUGUCUUCAGGAUCAGGACCCACAAGUCAAAUCCUGAACACACCUCAUACCCUCAUUCAAUUACUGCUGUGAUCCCUUCCCAACACUAUGUCUCCCAUCCUCCUCAAUGUUUCAGGUCACCAGCCUCCACUGAUGUACAGUAUAUGGAAAGACCAUCUAUAUACUGAAAAAUCCCUCUCUUCAAAUCAAUGAUGAUGAAUCACAUACAGUACAGUACUACUCCAGUAACUCCACCUAAGGCAGUGGUAAAGAUAGUGAAGAUAGUUUCCUGUGACUGUCCAACCAUCAACCAACAGCAAAGAGUCACAUGCAGGUAAAGCUUUCAAUUUGAACAUGACUUUGCUCUAAAAACUUUGAAGUGCCAAGUGAAGUCUUCUAUGAAACUUUGAUGAAGUAGGUCAUAAAAUAUGGAGGCCGUUACGAAGUGGACAUUAAUGGGUUGCCCAUGGGUAGACCCCACCAUGCAGAGUCUGUGAUGAGGUGAAACUACAUGCUGUGCUGAACACAAGAUUUCAGGAAUGGAGGGAAUGGAGGCGUGAGCAGAGCAGAGUACUACAAUUAAACUCCUCAUAUGAAAAAUAAAUAUGUA